GACGAACGCUGGCGGCGUGCUUAACACAUGCAAGUCGAGCGGUAAGGCCCUUUCGGGGGUACGACGAGCGGCGAACGGGUGAGUAACACGUGGGUGACCUGCCCUCAGCUCUGGGAUAAGCCUGGGAAACCGGGUCUAAUACUGGAUAUGACUCCAUGACGCAUGUUGUGGGGUGGAAAGCCUUGUGCGGCUGAGGAUGGGCCCGCGGCCUAUCAGCUUGUUGGUGGGGUGANGGCCUACCAAGGCGACGACGGGUAGCCGGCCUGAGAGGGCGACCGGCCACACUGGGACUGAGACACGGCCCAGACUCCUACGGGAGGCAGCAGUGGGGAAUCUUGCGCAAUGGGCGAAAGCCUGACGCAGCGACGCCGCGUGAGGGAUGACGGCCU
rnacentral:rRNA from 1 species